rnacentral:rRNA from 1 species
GAUGAACGCUAGCGGCAGGCUUAAUACAUGCAAGUCGAGGGGCAGCAUGAGUGUAGCAAUACAUUUGAUGGCGACCGGCAAACGGGUGCGGAACACGUACACAACCUUCCUAUAAGUGGGGAAUAGCCCAGAGAAAUUUGGAUUAAUACCCCGUAACAUAAUGAUGUGGCAUCACAUUAUUAUUAUAGCUUCGGCGCUUAUUGAUGGGUGUGCGGCUGAUUAGAUAGUUGGCGGGGUAACGGCCCACCAAGUCUACGAUCAGUAGCUGAUGUGAGAGCAUGAUCAGCCACACGGGCACUGAGACACGGGCCCGACUCCUACGGGAGGCAGCAGUAAGGAAUAUUGGUCAAUGGACGCAAGUCUGAACCAGCCAUGCCGCGUGAAGGAUUAAGGUCCUCUGGAUUGUAAACUUCUUUUAUCUGGGACGAAAAAAGGCGAUUCUUCGUCACUUGACGGUACCAGAUGAAUAAGCACCGGCUAACUCCGUGCCAGCCGCCGCGGUAAAAC